AGAGAGAGACAUGCGCGCAUAUCAAUAAGCGGAGGAAAAGAAACUAACAUAGGAUUCCCUCAGUAACGGCGAGUGAAGCGGGAAGAGCUCAAAUUUGAAAUCUUCAAGGUUCUACCUUGACGAAUUGUAGUUUAAAGAAGUGUUUUCUGUUGAAGUUUUGGUAAAAGUUCUUUGGAAUAGGACAUCAUAGAGGGUGAGAAUCCCGUAUUUGACCAUUAUUUCCAGCUGUGUGAUACACUUUCAAAGAGUCGGAUUGUUUGGGAAUGCUGUCCAAAAUGGGUGGUAAAUUUCAUCUAAAGCUAAAUAUUGGCGAGAGACCGAUAGCGAACAAGUACCGUGAGGGAAGGAUGAAAAGAACUUUGAAAAGAGAGUUAAACAGUACGUGGAAUUGUCAAAAGGGAAGCGUUUGACACCAGUGUUGUUUUUCUGAAAAUCGAUUAAAGAACUGUUUAUGCUAAGUUGUUUAGACUUUAUCAGCUAUCUGUUUAGUUUUGAGCUUUUCUUUAAUGCACUUUUCAGUUAACAAGUCAACAUCAAUUUCUUUUGCUGUAAAAAAGCUUGAGGAAGGUGGCUUGAGAUUCGUCUUAAGUGUUUAUAGCCUCUUGCCUAUGCAGUCGGAGAGAUUGAGGUCUGCAGCGUAGAUCCUUCGGGGCUAAAUGCAUUUGUGCUAAGUUAUAGCAUUUUAUAGACAACUUGUUGACUAUGAUUUGUCUUGUAGCUUACUCGCUUAUGUUAUUUUACCUACGCUUAGGAUGUUGAUGUGAUACUGCGAGC
rnacentral:rRNA from 1 species